GAAAUGGUGGUGUCCAAUGAUGUCUCCACGCAGCUGGACUUUUUCUUGGAUGCUCUUUUGGUUGACAUUGAAUCCACAGAGAUUUCUGGCUUCAUGGAUGGCCAAACACUGGUAAUAAAUGUGGGAGGUAUGCAGAAAUCAGAAAAUAUUCUACUCACCAAGAAUGUGGCAAGUUACAACCACCAAAUGAAAAUAGAAACAGAAUAGAAAUACCAAGAUAAGGGACAACUAAGAGACUAAGGAAAUAUGACAGGGACAAACUCCCCUUCACUUUACAGGCUGCCUAGUCCACUCACAUGGAGGCUACUUGUGAAGCCAGAUAACGCACACAGAUAUGCUGAAUUCUUGGAGUCUGGCAGCAAAGGAGGAGUUUGCUAUUUCUGAGGAGCUAAUCCAUGAGGAGAAAGGAGACAGUUAACAGCACCUAAGAGA
rnacentral:lncRNA from 10 species